GAUGAAGAACGCAGCGAAAUGCGAUAAGUAAUGUGAAUUGCAGAAUUCAGUGAAUCAUCGAAUCUUUGAACGCACAUUGCGCCCGCCAGUAUUCUGGCGGGCAUGCCUGUUCGAGCGUCAUUUCAACCAUCAAGCCCCAGGCUUGUGUUGGGGACCUGCGGCUGCCGCAGGCCCUGAAAACCAGUGGCGGGCUCGCUGUCACACCGGGCGUAGUAGAUUUUAUCUCGCUCAGGGCGUGCUGCGGGUUCCGGCCGUUAAAAAGCCUUUUUUACCCAAGGUUGACCUCGGAUCAGGUAGGAAGACCCGCUGAACUUAAGCAUAUCAAUAAGCGAGGA
rnacentral:misc_RNA from 1 species